CGGCAACAGCUCAAAUUUGAAAUCUGGCGCAAGCCCGAAUUGUAAUUUGCAGAGGAUGUUUUUGGCGCGGUGCCUUCCGAGUUCCCUGGAACGGGACGCCAUAGAGGGUGAGAGCCCCGU
rnacentral:rRNA from 1 species